GCUUGCGUAGCCUAGUCAAAGCAUAACACGGAAGAUGUUAAGACGGACCCUGAAAAGUCGAGAGAGCA
rnacentral:tRNA from 1 species